UCAUCAUAGGAAGGUAUGAAAACAAGUAUCAAAAUGAUCAAUAAACAAAUUAAUUUCAGAUGGGAUGUUUAGGAACAAGCUUAAGUAAAAUUGUAGUAAGUUUUUGGAUUCCCUGGAUUUCUGCAUUUUCUAGUCAUGGGAUUUGAAGUGCUCAAAACCAUCAGGUGUAAUGAAUGUGUAAUUUACAGGUAGAACAUGACUCCCAUGGGCCAGGCACCGAGCAACAUCCAGAUCCUCAGUAAUCUCCAAGCAAGUCUGCGACACAGCUCUGGUUGGGAUGGAGGUGAGGCUCUGACCUGCCCCUGCUCACUUUGCUCCUCCAUGCUGCCCUCCCACCUCCAUCAUGAAUUUAUGCAACAGCAUCCUGACUGGUUUCCCAGCUCUGAAUAUCUGCUGUCUCCAGGUCACUCUCCACACCUGGCCAAGGUUAUCUUCCUGGCAGAGUUGACAGGUUACAAGUGUGAAUUCAGACUACAAGCAGGACACCUGCAGCCACUGAGAGAUGCCAGGAGUUUGAGGAGCACCUGGAAGCACCGCAGCUGACCCCUUAAUUCCAAGGACACAGUCAUACAGCAGGAUGAUUUAAGUUCCAGAACUGCUGCAUUAAUUCCAAGGAUGUACCCCAGUAUCUCUUGCUUUAUUCUCUUCCCCGGUGAAGUUUUUGUUUAAAGGCUGAGCUCCACGGGAGGAAAGAAACAAGUGUAGAAGAUGCUUGGCACCACCCGAGUGAAGAUCACGAUGGUAGAGCCUUCCAGUGGAAGACCCUGAGGCUGGAUCAGGGGCUGGAGCUGUCUAACCGGCUACCUGGCUGAUGGCUCCCCACGAGAGUGUUUUCUUUUUUCUCUCUCUGAGCAAUAAAGCAGCUUGCUUUCUUUCUUCCUUCCUUUCUUUCUUUCUUUCUUUCUUUCUUUCUUUCUUUCUUUCUUUCUUUCUUUCUUUCUUUCUUUCUUUCUUUCUUUCUUUCUUUCUUUCUUUCUUUCUUUCUUUCUUUCUUUCUUUCUUUCUUUUCUUUCUUUCUUUCUUUCUUUCUUUCUUUCUUUCUUUCUUUCUUUUCCACUUUGCCUCUUUCCCAUUAUUGAGAAUUCUGUCUCAGUUGGCAGGCAAGGACCUACACGUUUAAGGCAGGGCUUGCCCACAAAUUUUGGUGGGCUUUUUAGUUUGGGGGGGUCUCUCAAGCCACUAAUAUAACAAUACUGAUCAUAUGUUGAAAUGAUGU